rnacentral:tRNA from 1 species
ACCUGGCUAGCUCAGUGGGUAAAGCAUGUGACUUUCAAAUCUCAGGAUCAUGAGCUCAAGCCUCAUGUUGGGUA